rnacentral:lncRNA from 1 species
UUUUAAAUUCAUGGCCACCAGCUCAAGUGGACACUUGUUGACUGCUACAUUUCCCCAGCCUGGUACCACCCAAACAUGUCCUCGUGUCCUGGCACACAGAGAGGGCAGAGCUGGGAUCACACUGCCUGCCCCUCUAAAUGAAAGGUUGCUGAGCAGAGCGGGAAGCUGCACCUUUGCAGGCAGGUCAAGGACCUGGCUUCUGGGACCCAGGGGGACCCCAUGUGAAGGGGAGUGGGGCUGGGCUUGUCUAGAAUCUGCCUGAAGUGGGGACCUGGAAGAGUGAAACUGAAGGAGGCUGGAAGUAUUCACCCGAAGGCAGAGAGACUCCAGACCCCGAAAAAGUGGCCCAAGAGGGACAGUCAGCUUUGGUCACCUGGGAGCCCAAGCAGUGUGUAGGCAGCAAAGACCCCCGGCCCUUGCCGCUGGCCUUUGGGCUGUCCCCAGAGGGUCAGGAGCUACAACUGGAGAGGAAGUGGGCAGAGCCCAGGCUGGAGCAGGAGGCAUUUCAACUCAGAGUAAAGUUGGGAGUUUUGAUGGUUACACCGGCCAGGACACAAAAAUUACUUCAGUGAGACCAAAUCGAAAAUGGGCAUGAAAACGGGGCCAGAUUUUCACCCGGUGGUGGGUGUGGGGUGGGGAAGAACACUGGGGGAAGGAACAAUACAAGUGAUUUGUUUCUCUUCUAUUAAUAACUCGCAAAGCUGCAAAAGUGGGUGGGGGCUUAUUCAAAUGAAUGUAAUUCUUCUGUUACCUUCAAACAUCAGUGACACUAUAUGCACAGGGGACCAUCAGGGGGCGGGCGCUGGAGGGGUAAUUCUUCCACCUCUGUGGCACCCAGCUGUGCGCCUGCAGACUGAUCUGUCUCCCUCCCUCUUGCAGGAAAACACUUUUCUAUGAAUUCACAAUGAUAUUUGUACUAUGCUGGGGCUAUUGUUAGGAGUUGGUAUGAUGAAAUAUUCCGCAUUGUAAACAGUGUGCACACAAACAUGUCUCGAGUGUGUACUUGUACUUUGCUGGUGAGUGGAAAGCAGAGGGUGAUCUUUGAAAAGAGGCUGGACUGCUUGCUGGAAAACCUUCAAAACAGGAAGCAGCCACUAGAUUCAAGUCACAUUCCUGCCGGAGGCUAGACGUGAUCCCCCAGGCCGGAAUCCCAGCAGUGCUGGGCGGGCGUGUUUAUUUGUCCUUGGGUACAUGAAGCAAUAGCUCCGUUGCUCCUCCGUGAGAGAUUGCAGAAUGUUCUGGCUGGAAUAACCAGUCAAGGUAGUGUCAGAAGACAGAGUUACAGCAGAUCUAGUUUAGAGGCCUUCAUUGGCUUGCGUUUGCUCUUCUAGAAUGGGCAACACCUCGUUCGAUAAAAUAGAGAAAAGGGCCGAGGAAAGCAGAAACCAGAACAGAAAGCUGAUUGGUCUUUUCACAGUUAAAGGUUUAAGCAGAGGGCUUCCCUACUGUGCUAGCUGAAACUGGCCUGUUUGGGGAUUUGGCUACGAUCUCCUUCUCUCCUGAUUUCUUAGAAGCUCAAACAAUUUUCUCUUGGUGGUGUGGAAACUCAGCGCAAACAACCCUGUUUGGGUUUGGUCUGUUGGGCUUAGUGCGGGAGCCCUGCCCAAAGCCAGUGCCUCCUGUCAAUUUCACUGCACACUGACAUGGGACCAACAUGCCUAACACUCGUCUGUCCCGUGGACCCUGUCUCUUUCAUUUUUUUAUUUUUAGUUUUUAGAGACAGGGUCUUGCUCUGUCUCCUAGGCUGGAGCGCAGUGGUGCAAUCACAGGUCACUGCAGCCCUGACCUCCUGGGCUCAAGGGAUCCCCUCUUCUCAGCUUCCCAAGGAGCUGGGACUGCAGGCAUGUGCCACCAGGCCUGGCUAAUUUUUUAUUUUUUGUAGAAACAAGUUCUCACUAUAUUGCCCAGGCUGAUCUCAAACUCCUGGCCUCAAGUGAUCCUCCCACCUAGGCCUCCCGAAAUGUUGGUAUUACAGGCAUGAGCCGCUACACCCGGCUCUGUCUCUUUCAAAGCACAAGUCCACAGUUUUGCUGACACGUGGUGGCGAUGGGGAAAGGUCAGCAGGGAGUAGAGAAGAGAACACAGGCUUUUGCCACUGUGUGAGGUGGCAGUGGGAGAGUCUGCAGAUAGCAGGGGAGCAGAAAGCAGGGGACAGCUAGGGCUGGUAUCUGGGCUCUGCUACUAAGAAGCUGUGUCACUUGGAGAAGCGACUCACCUCUGUGAAGGUCCCCAUCUUUAAAAUGAGGGUGACCACAACAGCACUGCCCUCUGAGGCUGCCAUGAUUCCGUGAGUUCACGAGGGCACUGCAUUUGGUGCCUGGCAAAUUACAGUGCUUGGUGGGUGGUGCCUGUGCCUGACACUCCUGCCCUGUGUUGUUACCUCCUAAUAGCCAGCGAGGGGAGGUGUGCUUUCCUUAUCUCGCACAGGAGGGGACUGAGGCUCAGAUAGUCCAUGGCCACAUGAACUGGGACUCGGAAACAGGCCCUCAUGGCUGUAAGUGCUGGCCUCAUUUCGCGUUGCGUCACCAAAAACAGACAGGAUCAGUGAUCAGCUAGAGGGGCCAAGCAGGGGCAGGAGGGUGGGAAGAGUGGUCCCUCCAAGGGGACCCAGAAAAUGCCAGUGUGACAGCCCUCGGGGCCCCUGGCUGGGCAAGUGGAAGACAGAGCACUGGCUGGAGCCGAGAGCUGGCAGGACUGAGCCUUGGCCUCCGCAAGAGCCCCAGCAAAAGCCAGCCCGGCACAACAGCUUUGCCCCUCGGUGGAAGCCCCCAGGCUGCGUCUGGAGUGGCAGAGCUCGCAUUCCAAGCUCAGAGACACUGUCUCCAAGAGCCCUGCGCUUCUAGCCGAGCCCUUUCCCUGGGUCAAAGGAGAAUGGUGGAGCUCUUUUGGGGUACACUGAGGGGGCCCAGGCCAGGCUUUGUAGGGAAGGCCCUGAUGACCAGUAACUCAUGAGGACUAAGCUCUGAUUUUUUUAUCUUGCCCAAAUUCCUAUCUUAGGGGUCUGGGGAGUCAUGCCCUACAAACCGUAAGUUCUCAUGGGAUGGGUUUUAUUUAACCCUAUAUAUUGUGACUUACUUUCCAAGCUGACUCUGGUAUAACAUUACGAGAC